AACAUAUGGUUGACACAUGGUACACAUGACCAGCAUUUCUCAAAUGAAUGGAACUUAAGGCUGAAAUGAUCGGAAACUUCAGACAGUUUCUGCCAUUGCGCCAACUCAUUUCUACACGGACAGUUUGGAAAAAUUAUCCCUACAAAGCUUCGAAGCAAACGGUUUGUGUGGCUUUUUUUGUUUUGUAUUGAAUUAUUUUAGUGUUUCACUUAAUUGUUGCAGCCCGAGUUACAAUGCUCUGGUGUACAUUCACAGUCAGAGCCAUGCGGGAACAUUCCGAUCAAAAAAGAAAAAAAAAAAAAAAAGCAGCUCUUGUUUACUCCCACCUCUGUUCUUUGCUGUUACACCACCACUGAGGUUAAAGUCAGACCAUCAAGAACUUUCUAAAGUCUGUGUGUUGUGUUUUUAGAAAGAGCUUGUCCGAGCUUGCUUUUGUUAGAUUCGCAUUAAAACAGUCUCUUUUAGCAUUAUUCUCACAUGUGAAAGUUGGGUGGGUGGGGGGGAGAAAAUGACAACACGAAGGAAUGUUGGCGGGAGCGUUCAGCGCCGUUGAUAAGGGUGCCGCUAGCUCACACUCACCAAAAUGUUUUUGUGUACCUUUUGUGUACAUUUGACUGUUCCAGAAUGACCACAGUGGUGAGGCGUGUUGAUCUUGGCUCCUGUGGUCAUUCCACUGAAGACCCCCCCGCGCAAUCCGGCCCUUCAAAAGCAACAAACCUGGCUGUCCCUCCCUGCCUUUGUGCUGCUUACAUUCUGAUUGAAUUUUCUGUGUGUUUAUUUCAUCAGCUUAACUUGCCGCUUCAUGCCUUCCCUGUGCUUCGGGCCACCCCUUGAACACCACGAUUGGCGUGGACGUGGCAGUGCUCCAGCUUGCACUCGGCAACAAGUCAUGAGAUGGAAAAACGCAAGAUAAAGCCGCACAAAAGCAAAAAGACAAUAUUAUUCAAAACAAAUUGUGAAGAAACUGGCCUCCCAGGGACAACGCUGGAUGUGGAUGUUUACCAUCACGCAAGCACCCAAUUUAAUGUUCUUCUGGGUUAAGAUUAACAGCAAUAAACUUUUGGAAACACA